rnacentral:rRNA from 1 species
UCAGUAACGCGUAGCCAACCUACCUUAUGGACGGGGAUAACCUCGGGAAACUGAGAAUAAUACCCGAUAGAACAUUAUGCCUGGAAUGGUUUAUGUUUCAAAUAAUUUAUUGCCGUAAGAUGGGACUGCGGCCUAUCAGUUUGUUGGUGAGGUAAUGGCCCACCGAGACUAUUACAGGUACGGGCUCUGAGAGGAGUAGCCCGGAGAUGGGUACUGAGACACGGACCCAGGCCCUAUGGGGCGCAGCAGGCGAGAAAACUUUGCAAUGUGCGAAAGCACGACAAGGUUAAUCCGAGUGGUUUCUGCUAAAGGAACCUUUUGUCAGUCCUAGAAACACUGAUGAAUAAGGGGUGGGCAAGUUCUGGUGUCAGCCGCCGCGGUAAAACCAGCACCUCAAGUGGUCAGGAUGAUUAUUGGGCCUAAAGCAUCCGUAGCCUGCUUUGUUAGUUUUCGGUUAAAUCCAUAUGCUCAACGUAUGGGCUGCCGGGAAUACUGCAAAGCUAGGGAGUGGGAGAGGUAGACGGUACUCGGUAGGAAGGGGUAAAAUCCUUUGAUCUAUUGAUGACCACCUGUGGCGAAGGCGGUCUACCAGAACACGUCCGACGGUGAGGGAUGAAAGCUGGGGGAGCAAACCGGAUUAGAUACCCGGGUAGUCCCAGCUGUAAACUAUGCAAACUCGGUGAUGCAUUGGCUUGAUGCCAAUGCAGUGCCGCAGGGAAGCCGUUAAGUUUGCCGCCUGGGAAGUACGUACGCAAGUAUGAAACUUAAAGGAAUUGGCGGGGGAGCACCACAAGG